AUUAUCAAAGCCACAUUCCUCAGAGGUUGAGAAGGAGGAGCGACGCAAUGACAAAUGUGUUGUUAUUGAGAAUACAGAGCCCCGUUCACAGGAGAAGUCCACGCAGUCGCACAUUCAAAACUCCUUCGGCGCUAUCGCAGAGAGCUAAUACGAAACAGACGAAGACACACUGACAUGACCUCAGCAGAAAUGUCGACGGAGGGUGUGAUUUUUCUGGUGCAGCGUUGGGCCCACGACGUCAUUUCCCACGUCUGAGUCAAAGUGGGACACUGGCCGUGAGACUAAAGAUACAGCGUUGUGUAAAUAAAGCUUGCUGCGCGAUGCCAACUUUAGAUUCCCACUCAUCAGCGAGACGUCGUGAAAGGUCCCUCAGUUCCAGCCCGCCGGCAUUCACGCUGCAAACAGAACCACGGUGACGUAUUCACCACACACUGGUGUGCACUCGGCAAACUACACACAUCACCUGUGCGUGUGUGUGUGUACUCCUACGUGUGUGGCCGCCGUGUUGCCUUGACAACCUGCUGCCGUUUCCCUUUUUGCUUGCCCUUGGAGCCGAGGGCCGAUUCACACCAACGCAGGAGCAGGAGUCGGAUCAGAGGGAGGACGGACGCCGGGCGUCGGCCCCCGGGCCUUUCAUCGGCGCCACUCGAGGGAACGACACCCACGGCUCUCCCACCUGCUUCUCACCUGUCAGGCAGCGUGUGUGGUCCGAUGGUGCUGAUAUGUCCACGGGGAGGGAAGAAGGAAAUGUUGCCUCAUCUCAGAGAGUGGUUGAGCUGCUAAACAGAUUCAAUCAGGCGGGACAUCGUGACUGCCAAACCAAUAUCAGAUGAUUGGGGGCCCUGACAGCUCCGAGGCCCGUUGCCAAGGUUUGGAUGCAUCGUUGGGGACUCUCCAGGAAGAGGAGCGGCGCGACAAAGGUCACCGCGGCAGAACCGCUUGAAGUCGUUUUGCGUAGGACUCCCCCGAGAUCCCCCGUGCGAUAUGACUCACGGCCGUGGCAGCGAGAUGUGGCGCGUUGCACUGAGCCGCGGCAUCGCCGGCCUGCAGUCGUUUCAGGGCGCGGAGUGAUAAUAAGAUCAUAUAUUCUGUCCAAUUCACUGCGCUUAUCUCUGUCUCUCUCUAUCCAUCACGCUCCCAUCCAUGGCAAUCCUCUCUGACCCUUUUUUUGUUUUGUUGUCCUCCAAUCUGACGGCCACCAGUCUCCUUCAGUCACAUCCUCUCUCCUGUAAUUCCCCUCACUAUCUCAGCCGGCAGGUCUCCCUCUUUCCUGCCUGGGUGACCGCUGUCCCAGCGAGGAGGGAGCGAUGGGACGGCGGCAGCAGAGCGGAGGGGAGGAGGUUGAGGGACAGAAAACAGGGAGCAGUGAAAGUGGUGCAGAGGACGGAGGGAGGGAGGGAGGGACGAGUGUCCCAGACGUGCCACCAGGCUGUACACAUUCCUCAGGGGCUGUGCAUCCUGUUCCUUCGUCCCCACCUCCAUCACACUCACCACGCUGCACGUACACAGGCCUCACACCCUCCAGACCCUGCACCUCCACCCACAAUGGUGCCCACUCUUCCUCCGGCGAAAUGCUCCCCACAGGACAGGAAAUGGUGACUCUCUCUUUCUCUCUGUUUGUUCUGCACGCCGCUCGCUGCAGAAUAAGCGCAUGUAUAUUAUGAAGUCUAAUCCUGCAGGACAUUCUGACAGUUCCGGUUAUUGGUAUUUUCAACAAGAUUUGGAUGAUUGAACAAUGAAGUCUGAGUUACGAAUCUGUUACAAUAGAUGAAUGAUUCCCAGCUUACUACCAGUACUUCCAUCCCGUUGAUUUUUCUUUCAUCAUGAGUGAAGCAUAUGUUUGGGCUCAUCUGUGUCGCCCGCGGCAACAUUGGCAUACUGUAAUUUCUCCUCCGAUUCAGUCCAGUCCCGGUCACUCUGGGUUAUUCACAGAGUUUGUUGUGCACAGUUGUCAAAGCAACUAUUUCUUGCGGCAGAAACUAUUUGCGAGGGGAAUUGUUUGCAGUUAGACCUGUGACGGGAGUAAAAUGGUUUUUGAAUGCUGAGGAGUUUUUUAUCUUUUUUAUUUCAGCCCCUGCGAUGAAAUUUAAUUCUGUAAUAAGAAGUGCAUUUUUGUCGAAUUAGUCAUUUUAGGUUUUCAACUUGCAUGUGAAAAUGUUCCAUGUAACCAAUAUACAAUUAGCCUUGCAGUUAUUUCAACCAAGCAUGAAAUAAUAAGCCACUCCUCCAACACAGGGAUGUUGUGUUAUGUGUAAUCAACUACACACUAAUUAUAACCACUGUCAAUCGUUACAGAAUGUUCACUAAUGACAACAUGGGCUUGUUCAAACUGGGAUUUUGGACGAUGGGUAGCUAGUUAAAUCUUAUCUGUAACUAUUCAUUGAAACCUAUAAUCUAUCAAGGUGUUAAAGGCACAAGCCAAUCUUUCAAAAAAACACUCCAUUCCAAAGACACGCCGCCCUGUUACUCGUUGCUGCGUUUGAAAGUAGAGCGCACAGAGUUUCUGUGCGGUGAAAUGUGCUUUAUGAAUAAAAUUACAACUGUGUGGGCACUAUGGUUCCUUCCACGGAGCAGAGGAGCUUCUGUUCCUUUCUCGGGUACGAGAAUAGACUCUAACCCAUUUAGUCUCGGUUGCAGACUCUGAUGGAGGAACAGGACAUACAAGUUCAUUUAUCAUGCCGGGAGCGGCCAUUAAGAAGCAGCGCGGGACAUGAUGUCAAAGUAGGAUGGGUGCGCUGAUUCAUCGCCAGUUGUCAUUUUUGGCAAACGGGCGGAAUUUUUUGUCAUUGUGUGGCCUAAUUGUUUG